rnacentral:rRNA from 1 species
CUGGCUCAGGACGAACGCUGGCGGCGUGCUUAACACAUGCAAGUCGAACGAGACGAUUUUAAGCUUGCUUAGAUGAGUCGAGUGGCAAACGGGUGAGUAACGCGUAGACAACCUGCCGCAAAGAUGGGGACAACAGUCCGAAAGGA